rnacentral:rRNA from 1 species
GAGGAAUAUUGGUCAAUGGGCGAGAGCCUGAACCAGCCAAGUCGCGUGCAGGAAGAAUGUCCUAUGGAUUGUAAACUGCUUUUGCAGGGGAAUAAAGUGAGCCACGUGUGGCUUUUUGUAUGUACUCUGCGAAUAAGGAUCGGCUAACUCCGUGCCAGCAGCCGCGGUAAUACGGAGGAUCCGAGCGUUAUCCGGAUUUAUUGGGUUUAAAGGGUGCGUAGGCGGGAUAAUAAGUCAGUGGUGAAAGUUUGCAGCUUAACUGUAAAAUUGCCGUUGAAACUGUUAUUCUUGAGAGUAGAUAAGGUAGGCGGAAUGUGUUGUGUAGCGGUGAAAUGCAUAGAUAUAACACAGAACCCCGAUUGCGAAGGCAGCUUACCGGGCUACAUCUGACGCUGAUGCACGAAAGCGUGGGGAUCAAAC